rnacentral:misc_RNA from 1 species
GGUAAAAGUCGUAACAAGGUUUCCGUAGGUGAACCUGCGGAAGGAUCAUUAAAGAGUAAGGGUCUUCGGGCCCGAUCUCCAACCCUUUGUUUAACUACCAUGUUGCUUUGGCGGGCCCGUCUCACGACCGCCGGAAGUUUGGCUUCGACCAAACUUCUGGCCCGUGCCCGUCAGUGGCCCCUUCAAAUUCUUGAUCAAGUAUGAUGUCUUAGUUAAAAACUUAAUAGUUAAAACUUUCAACAACGGAUCUCUUGGUUCUG